rnacentral:lncRNA from 1 species
CCAGUCAGUUCUUCCUUUUUAUUUCUGGCUAGUCAUUCGUUGUCAAGGUAGCAUGGUAACCAACGCCUGUAGCCUGGAUGCCCAGAGGCCCUCGAUCUGUCCUGAGGAUUUUGGAACACAGGCCAGCUGGGCAUUUUUGUGCAUGCAAGACCUGCCUUGGCAAUGAUCUUAAGAUGUCACUGUAGCGUUUACAUCUUUUAUUUCAAGAUUUAAAUAACUAGGAAGUAGCUAAUGUAAUUCACUGCUGAGAAGAAAGGCGAGCUCCUAGAUUCCUUUCCAAAGCGAUCUCCUCCUAAUGAACUUCUCUGGACUGGGGAAGAGAGAAGCCCCUCCCAUUCGCUUCUACUGGGGCUUGUUAGGCCAUCGCCUUGGGGGCCGGCUGAUCAGCGGCAGCCAGCAGCCGGCGGCUUCGGCAGGCAGGAACAAGGACAGCCUGUGGCUACUGCAGCCCCACUGCCCGGCCAUGCUUCAUGAUGGGGGAGAGUGCCUUGGGAGGAAUAUACAGGCAAAUCAUGUUAGCAUCACAGAGCCCACUUAAUUCCGUAUGGGUUGGUAUUUGGGGAAGAAAUCGAGGACGAAUUGGUGUUGGACCCAAAGCUGGGCAGGGACCAGUGUGCAUGGCAAGGUUUUAAUGCCAGUAAGUUUUUCAGGGUGAUUUUUUUUCUGUCCCUGAGUCAGUGGAAUAGAAUGGAAAUGCCAUGUCUAGCUACUUUAGGGAGCACAGUGUGAAGAAGACAGCCUCCUCUAAGCUAGCACUGUUUGUGUAAUAUGUGGUCCUUAGACAUUAAAAUGAAGCCCUUUGUCACCAACUGUAGAGCCCCCCAAAACACCCUCAUUUGGUGUUUUUGUUCCAUUUUAAACCAUGAAUGGCAUCCGCUCCCUCCAGUACUGAUGUGAGGUUUUUCUGUGUUGGAUCAAAACCAAAUGCUGUUUUAUGUCAACGUAAGGAAGGAAACUAGCAAAUGCAUGAGGUCAAUCUCCAUGGCACACUUCCACCCCAGGGGCUGUACGAGAGGAAAAAAAUGUGCUUCAUGUCCCAACCAAAAGCAUUCUCUGUCUGAGGACUGUUGCCCAAGUGUGAAGUAGGAGACUCGUGCAAUUCAAAGGCACCUAUGUGAUGCCCAUGUGGAGCCCUUUUCUUAGCCAGGCACGACAGGUAUGGAGCCGGCUCUGGGAAGUGGGAUCUAGAAUGACAACCCUUGGCACAGGGCUAAGGAGCUUUAGGAGUGAUGAAAUCUCAUUGUACCACUGCAAACAGAAGCUGCAUCCCUGCCUGGGAAGGAUUAGGUCGCCUCCUAGGCAGGAGCAAACAUUUGGUGGAAAGGACUAGGAGGUUGGCUGCUUGCUCUUCUCUUUCAGCAGUGACAUCUCCACCCUGCCUGUCCCACCUCUCCAGAAAGGACUCCCAGAGGCCUAUGGACUGGAGCUAUUAACAUCCUGCAGAUGGGAGCCACUCUCUCACUGUGAUCACCAAGGAAUUUUCAUCGACUGUGGAGCAGCCUGCUGGGACCCUGCCAGCUGAUCUUAACAAGCCCACUUACUGCAGGAUUCCCACUGCUUUCCUGGGCUAGGAAUUCCUUAACCAAAGGCCCCUGGCUGAGAGAAAACCCCGAAGCAGUUAAGAUACCAGGAAAGGAAGACUUGAAAAUUGGGAAAGCAUGAUGCAAAGCUUUUGGAGGGGCCACCGGGUAACAACAGGAGAGCACCAGAACUCACGGAGAGAGCAGAGGUUGAGGAAGCCUGGCGCCCCAGCGACAAAGCAGUGUCCCCGACAAAAGAAAGAUUCAAUCUUGGAAACAGAAACAUGAAGUGAAUGUUUAAUACCAUGGUCCAAGAAGAUGGCAUUUUCUGUGACUGGAACAAUGCAGAAUUAAUGUGUAUCUGCAAGAAAUAUCAUUAAGAUUAAGUAUUCUUCAGAGAGAUUGGAGAAUCGGGGAAUUCAAGUGCGUUUGUUGGCUUGAGCCAGCCCUCCGCUACCUGACCCAUCUGCAGGCAGAAAGGGCAUCCACCAAGGGAGUCUUUCUCAGUAGAGGAGGCAGUGUGCUGUUAUAUGCUGAUGCAGCUCCUUGUCUUGGACUCAUAACUGACAGAACAGCAUGUGGACCUCACCGCUCCUUGGACUUCGAGUGGCGCUACUCUAACGCUGAGUCCUGACCUGGAUCCCUGUUUGCUUGCCUAGACCUAAGGCGGUGGUGCAGACCUUCCCCCACCCCACAUACCAUCGCCUUCUGGAAUGUGGCUUUGUGGAACUGAGGCUGAGACAAUCACAGUGCCCCAUUCUUCUGGUCAUGUGACAGGUCUGGACCUGGUCAUGUGGCAAAGUCGAAUCUAAGUCACAUCAAAGCAGGGAGAGUUAAAGCAAAUCUUUUCUCUCUUGUUGUGGAGCUGGAAUAUGAGCCCAGAAGCUUCCAGAACACAUGGUCCUGCCCUCAUAAAGAAGCUCAAGUGAGGGAACAAAAUCGACUUAGGUAGCAGCGAGCAUGGAUGGGGCCUGGCUACAUCAAGUUCUCAGAUCCUGUUGUCCCCACCCACCCCCUGUAACUUGCCAAUUUUAUCCAUCAAGCAUCCUCUCCUCUCUCCCAACUUGUCUGAGUUCUGUUUCUGUCAUUGUCACCAAGAGAGCUUUGAUGAGUAAGAAAUCCCAACAUUCCACGGGAGUCUUGGUGGUUUAAAUUUUUAAGUGAGUCCUCACUUGUUAAAGUCUUAUUCCUGUUAGAGGGCACUUCCAUAGUCCAGAAGGUGGGGAAUUCCUAUAGGUGACCUGUGGUCUCUCUAAGCAAUUUGACCAGGACUAUUUAAUAAAAUAUUUUAAAAAUGGUUCCUUUUAAUUAUUCAUUUUCAAAUGUAUAUUUGUUCUUGGCAAACAAGAGAUGAUUUGCGUUAAUCAGUGAUCUUUAAGCAAAUUCCUUGCAAUACUUUAUCUCCAUAUAAACUCGAAGCUUCUUAAAUGAAAUAGUACCUGUGU